rnacentral:lncRNA from 1 species
UCAAGAGAAUCCCUAUGAGUCCCACCAUCCACUAGUGACACCUAGCAGCAUGUAGUGGCUACCCAGCAGAAUAGAAUGAUGAACCUCUAGGUGCAGUUAUCAUGUGAUACAGUCCUUCUAUCGUGGAUCCCUACAAGACGGAGGUCAUGGAUAACUCGUCAAACCCCUUCGUCUGUCAUAUGUCAAGAUUUAUUCGACUUAAGUUCGAGAGCAGAGAACUCUUUCUCCACUGUGCAAUCUGCCCCGGCCGAGGUCUUACGAACUCAGUCUUAUAAAUCACAUAGGAUCUCUCCUUAUCUAUCAAGGUCGAUAGGUUCCUUGUAGAUGCAUACCCUACUCCUACAGUGAACCUACUGCAGCCAAUCUACACUGCAUGGACCCAUAUGGCUAGAGACCAUGUAUUUGUGCAGUCAAACUACAAUAAUCUCACUGUGA